UGUUCCUCCGGGAAAAGGAAUCCACCAUGGAUAAGCGGAUAUUAAUCCUGGUUCUUUUAGUGUCCUCGCUGUGCAUUGUGGCUGAUGCCCAUGUGAAGAGGUCUCCGGUCGCCGGAAGAAGUGGCCCAAGCCGUCCGCCAGGGAGUAAAGG